rnacentral:tRNA from 1 species
GGGCCUAUAGUUCAGUGGUAGAACGCCGCUAUGGCAUAGCGGAGGCGGGAGUCCGAUUCUCCCUAGGUCCA